GGGACGGCAGCUGCGGCGCGGACCGGAGGAGCCAUCUUGUCUCGUCGCCGGGGAGUCAGGCCCCUAACUCGAAGAAGCCCUGGCGCGCCCUCCCCCCCUCCCCGGUCUGGUAGGGCGAAGGAGCGGGCGCGCGGUCGAUCGAGCGAUCGGUUGGCGGCUCUUUCUCCUGCUCUGGCAUCCAGCUCUUGGGGCGCAGGCCCGGCCGCCGCGGCGCGCGCCCGGUGGCCGUUGGCGUUCGCGCCGCGUCUUUCUUCUCGUACGCAGAACUCGGGCGGCGGCCUAUGCGUUUGCUAUCCGACGAGGAGUCGUCCGGGUGGUCGGCGGCGGCGGGCAGUUGCUCCGCCCCGCUCCUGGGGAGGCGGCGGCGGCGGCGGCGGCGGCGGGAUUUGGCACGGCCGGGGAAGCUGGGGUGGCCGGGGCCGGCCUGGAGGCCUGGCACCACCCUUCGGGGCCUGCAAGGACCCAAUUGGGGGGACAGGAGGGAGCCGGGGGAUGGUUGGUGGUGGGCUUUCUACUUUGUCUUUUCCUCCUUAUGCCGCCUUAGUGAGGGGCGGGAGCGCUGGAGGCCGCUCCGGGGUGGAGAGACAAGCUCCGGAGUCGGAAGAGCUGGGUUUGCUUCCGGGCCUAACCACCAGCUGGCCGAGUGACCUUAGGCAAGUCACUCUGUAAUUUAUCUGCGCCUCAGUUUCCUCCUUCUCCAUCAAUGUUUGUGGGAUUGAAAGCGCUUUGUAAACUGUAAAGCGUCGCUGUAUGUAAGGGAUGAUUAUUGUUCGUAAUGGCUUGGUUUUUUGUUUUUUGGUUUUUUUUUUUUUGGAGUUGUAAGAAAACUUAGAAAUUGCCCAAUCCUUGGAUUUUGAACCUGGAAACCUUGGAUUGGAGGUGGAGAUCCCCAAACUCCUUGAAAUUGUAUGCAGAAAUUAGGGGGAAUGUGCAUUUUAGAGAAUGAGAAGCCAUCGCCAGCAAGUUUUCAUUGGGGGCUGUGACCCAGAAGAAUUAAGAACCACAUUUCCUUUGUCACAAGGAGGAAACUGAGGCCAGAUGUCAUUUGGGACCCUUCACAACCAAUUCGAAGCCCCUGUUUGAAUCCCUGAGAUAUGUGAGCUGUUCUGUGCAUAGUGGAUAUUCGUGGUAACAACACUCCACUUCUUGGCUUCUAUUUUGAGUUCUUUCACCAUGGGUUGCCUAAAGGGUGACUGAUGCUUAAAGGUACAGUGGCACCCAGCAUAAAGCAGCUAAAACUGGGCAUGGAUAUGUUCUCUAGUAUCAAGAAGCUUAUUUAAUCUUUGGCCCAACAACUUUUUUUUUUUCUGGUGCCUGACUACCUUUCUGACUCUUCAUUGACCAUUUUCUAUGACCAUGGUUGCCAUCCGUUACUUUCCCCUAUUUUAUAUUCCUAGUCUGUGUGGUUGGUAGUGAGCAGGCUUAUUUUUAAAUGGUGCUGCCAAGUCCAACUAAUUAAUGGUGCAGGUGGAUUUUUAGCAAGCUGGCUCACUAGAACAGACUGAACCAGGCAUGGAAUUCUUGAAAAUGUUUGGGGGGGUUGAGUCUUUAUUAAUUGAAGGUUAACGUUUUCUGAGAAGUUUUGUUAGAAUUUUCUGCUGAACCUCAAAAUCAGAUUGAAAGUGUUUCAACCUUAAAUUUUUUCUGGUCUGCUUUGUAUUCUAUUUGCUUGCAAGUGUGUUACUAAGAUGGCCAAAAUGCCAGUUUUUGCUUCUUUGUUAAUUGUCAGCUGCUUUUAUCAAAUAUCAGGCAGUUAUCCAGCAAACACUAUAGAAAUGUUUGAACAGUUGGCUUUCAAACAUUUUCAUUUUGUGGAGUGGUGCUUACCAUUGGUACAGCUCUAAGCAAGCAAACGCAAACACUUUUAAGUGUAUUUUGUCUGUUAGGUGUUAGCCGGUUCUGCUAUUUCAUACAAAUGUCUGGAAAUCAAUUGACUAUUCCCUUUACCUAGAGGGCAGAGACAAAUGAUCUCAAUUCCAGAGAAAUGACUGUUUUGGAGAAAACUGUGUUGGUCUUUUAGCUCUUUUGUAAUUAAAUCUGGAUGUACCUCAAAAGAAUCUUAAGACUGGUGAUAAAAUGCUUUCCUCAGGAGAAAGGAGGAAAAAAACCAACUGGAACUCAAAGCUUGAAAUUCUUUGACAAACAUAAGAUAUCCAGGAUGGGAAGUUGAAAGGGUUUCACUACAUAGCGUUCUGCACUAGCUGGAGCAGAUGUCUUUCAGUGUGGUUAUGGCGUGGACUUCAGAUUUUCAAGAACUGGAUCUGGGACCUGGAAGAAUUAUCAAGAUGUGACACGAAGUUGGGAGCUGGAUUUUUUUAUUUUUGAAUUUAUGGACUCUUGUCCUUGCUUUGAGAAAAGACAAUGACUGAGCAAGCACUGCCACCAGCGCUGUUACUGGGAAUUCGGAGACCUGAGUUUUUGCCAGAUCCUCGGUGCAAACUCUGGCGACGCUCCAUCCAAAGUGAAAAACGUCUUGUGCCUCCUGGUUGCCGAGUAUUCACCUGGACCUUCUAACCACCUUCCUUGAGCUAUUCCAUCAGCCUUCAUAUCUGGUACCUGGAAUUUUGCCCAUGGUGAUUCCUGCCACCUUACUACUGAAGAAGACAACCAUGCCAGUGAACCACUGUGACUCGAGGCAUCCAGCAAAUUUGAAUCAUCAUCAUGUGGCCUUCACCUCCACUCCUGUCCUGUUCUACCCAGAUUCAACACAGCCCUUUGUAGUGAAGUCAAACUCCUCAAGCCAAAUAGCUGAAGCUGUUUUAUCACAAUUAAGGCUCAGUUUGUUCCAUGAGUGUGCUUUCGUUUCUUCAGUUAAAGCCUUCAGAGACACAUAAUAAAUUUGGACCAGGGGAUUUUAGUUAUCAACACUGUCUGAAGAAUGGCACCAUCUUUUUGAGAACCACAUUGAACCCCGCCCCAAAAUCUCAAAUGAUUGAAGUUCAUGAAGUAUCUAAGAUCCCAUCCAAGUCACUGAACUCUGUUUUUCCAUUUCAAAUCUGUAGUAUCCUACUGAAUAAGCAAGCAGAUAUUCUGACCGUUUGGGAUUAAAACAAAGGCACAGUGAACUCAGAGCAUCCUUGGGAUUACUCAGGAACCAGAACUUUUCACACAAAUGUAAGAAAUUCUACCAAGAUAUCCCUUUACCUAACAGCAUCUCACAAAGCUCCAAUCAGAUUCCAGAAAAGGCCUCUUGAUACAUCCAGGUAGAACCUAUAUGGUAAUCCCUUAUGUUUAUAUAGCACUUUACAGUUUCAAAAGCACUUUUACAUGCAUUAAUCUCAAUUAUCAAAUAACACAAGUUAUAAUCCUGUUUUGCAAAUGAGGAAAUGGAAAUUUAAAAGGUUGUCCAAGGUUAAACAGAUACAAAAUAGUAGAAGCCAGGCCUUCUGACUCCCAGUCCAGUUCUCUCCUUGGAAUUAACUUAGCCUCUAUUUUACCCACAGUGUUAAAAUAAAUGGAGAUUGAGAACCUCAGAAAAGUUUCCAACUUCCUGAUCUGGUACCCCCAGUCAGGAUAAUCUUGUGCUGGCUGUAGCUAGACCAGAAUUCUAUGGCAACAUCUCUGAAGUUUAGCAAUAGACUGUCUCCAUGGUGGUAGAUUGUCCAGUCAGUAAGGCAAAUGUUCAUCUGACAAUAAGAUUACCCAGCAUGAAAUAAAGCAACUUUUAAAUCUUUCUUCAUCUUCAUAGUCUUCCCAAAAAUGGCCUAAUUAAUUGGGGAUCCCUAUUCAUAUCAUGUCUUUUUUUUUUUUUAAGUCUUAUUAAUAUUCCUGGACAGCAAGGUCUUACCUAUGAUCCGCUAUCCCCAAACUAUUAUUUACAUAAUAUGAGCCAUCAAUUUUUUUAGAACAGUACUGUUCAUAUAUAUAUGUGUGUGUGUAUUUAUGUAUAUAUUUGAUAUACACAUAUAAUAUAUAUCAUAGAGCUUCUGUAGUCCAAUAGGUGGUAAAAUGUGUACCCUUCCCUGAUACAUAAUGCAGUGUAGUGUAUUAAAGGAUUUCAGAAGGUUUGCAGUAAAGAGCCUCAUUUAGCUGUUUAGUCCAGUUGUCCCAAGUUUAAUGAAACACAGAAUGUUACUUUUGCAGCAUUGUUUUUAAUGGAAUAGGAAAACUGCUUUGGAGCAGUAAAACCAGUGCUUGCUGAUUGGCAGCAAAUUGCCCUGGAGACCCAGAAAUAAACAGCAUCUUUGAACCCACCCUUUUUCUUACCUUGUCAGUAACUUCUUGAAUUAGUGUGUCUCCAUCAUCUGAGAGCCCCACAUCUUGACAGUUGUGUUCAUUUUCUAUCAAAGGAACCUCUAGGAGGUUUGUGUCGAUGCAUGGGAAGGGAAUGGGGGGAGUUAAUUCUGCCACGAAAUUAUAUGAAUUCCAUGGCUUUUAGCAGUAUACAUCUCUGUCUCCAGAAUUGUGUUAUAAACCUAGUUCAAGGGCAUUGCAUCUCAGGUGGGUGAGGAGACUGGGAAGGGAGGAGGAAAAGGAUAGAGAAAAGGGGAAGAAGGGGUGAAAAGAUAUUGCUUAGGAUUUGAGUUUUGGCCCACUGAGAUCUUACUAGUCUUUGAAGAGAAGUCAUCCAGCUCAGGACUUCUUGGAAUAAUAUUUACAAAGAAAUGAAUGCAUUUUGCAGCUAUAUGCUGACUGCAAAAACCCCAGUAUUAUUGUCACUUAAAACCAAUAGCCUCACUUACAAGCCCAGUUUCAGGCAAUCCGAAUUUGUAGCAGACUUGAAUGUUAACUUCGUCAUUCUAUAAUGUGGCGUACGUUAGGGGAAGAAUAAAUAGGAAAACACUUUCUAGGCUUACCACUUGGCUUUGCUUAUACAGUUUCUGGUUUCUGUGACCUAUUUUUUGUAUUUCAGCAUUUUGUGAACAGCUUAUUCUUAGAUCAUUGGUUUUCCAAAGGCUUUGUGGCCAUGAAGCCCUUUGAAUGAAUGCUAUACGGAAGACCAGAGUUAAAGUGAAGCUGCUCUGGAAGAAGCAGAAGUGGGGGGCCUGAAACCUGCCACAAGCAUCUUACUUUACCACCAUGGUGACACCUAAGGAGACUUCUUUACAGCACCUAGAAUUCUUCAGAACACAGUUUGAAAACCACUGCCCUAGACGACAUUGUGUUCAACUUGAAAGGCAUUCUGUUCUGUACCUCUACCCAACACCAUCCAUGUUCAGUUGAUGUUCAACAUCAUUAAGAAUACUUAACUGUGGGUAAACUCAGAAAAGUACAAGAAGAUGGGCAUAUCUUUGCCCAUCUGCCCUUUGCCCCUAGAUGGACUUCCAGUGAUUCCUAGAAUUGGAUAUAGCUAGAGAGCAAUUCAUACAUACUCUACACUGAUAAACCCCUUUACCCAGUUUCUUUUUAUAAACACCAGAUACUCUAGUGGUACUUGAAAUACAUGACCUCGAAGUCUUAAUCCUCCUUGGAUACAUGAAUGACGUGGUAUUGAAGUUGAUGCCUCAUUGAGGUCAUAUUCAACCAACUAUACAUUGGACCUCCUGUCAUCAGCCAUGGUACUCUACUUUGUGUGCAAGGGAUAACCAUUAACUGUGAAAGUAGAAUUCAAAUAUUGGCAAUGUUACCUAAAAGGGUACGUGGUUUUAUUCACCUUCUCAAACUAUAAGUUACUGUCACUCAGUGGCAGUUACACUGCUCCUUGGUUUUUAAUUCAGUUUGAUUGCUGUUUCCAGGAUUUAAUGAGCUAAUAAUCCUUAAGAAAAAUUGCUAAAACAAUUCCUCCAUCACUGGCAUAUCUGCCUAUUCUGCUCUAAAAUUACAAUACUCAGCUCAACUACAUGUAACACCUGAUCCACAGGAGACAAUAUCUGAACAUACUUUCUUGUGAUUUAAAAUGUGGCCAUUUGCAAAACUUUCUUCCAAACAACGGGAGAUUUUAAGAUGGGUCUUUUAAUGUUUCUUCCAAACAACUGUAGAUGUUAAGGAUAUUUGGAGGUAGGCCUUUUGACCAGGCCACAGUAGCUUACUCGGAGGGCAUGUCAGAUUGCAUGUCAUCUACAUUUUUGCUGGAAAUGUAGACCAACUUGAAAGAAAAUCUGCAAAGCCUGUGGCUACAGAUUUUAUGAGUAGACUCAAGAGCUUCCUGAUGCUUCUUAAUGUCACAAGACCACAGUCCCUUAUCCUUAUGGAUAUUUCCAUGGAAUUUCAUCUGUCUCAAUACUGUUUUACACUGAAUCAGAGUGGCUGACUUCAUUCCUCGUCUUGAGAUACUCUUGGGCAUUAAGACAACCCAUAUGUCUCUGCAGGAGGGAUUCAAUUAAUGAACUCCCAGACCAGAUCAUGUAGAACAAGUAGACUUCACUUUGUGUCAUGAGAAAAAAAAAAUCUCAUUUCUUUACUUCAGAGUCAACUUAAGGGCCAGCUGUCCUCAACUACUUUAAUGAAUGCACUGGUUAAAUGUUGGGAAUGGUUUCUUUAUAUCUUUGUCUCAUCCUCUGUACUAACUGACUCAGUCUUCAAAUCAUCAAACAGGGCCUAAGUCUGAUUACUCUGUACUGCUCAACCCUCAACAAAUUAAAAUCUGAUGACCAGCCUGCUUGUAUAUGCAACUAUUAUUUGUAAAGAAGAAGCUUAUCUGCAGACUCAUUGUUUUCUACCUUGAAAAUGUCAGCUUGACUUUCCUUUUCUCCUGUACUUGACAGAAAAAGACAUUGAUCUACACUGCAAGUCAUUCCUUUCAAUCCUGUUAAAAUGAGGGACCUAAAAUGAAAAUGAUCAUCUAUUCAAGAGUCUGAUGUACACUGUGUAUAGGAAUUGAUGAUUCAAAAAGCCUAAAACUCAAACCUUUUAUCUUCAUGCCUCAAAUCUCAUCUAAAUCUUUUAGCAGUACCAUUCAACCAGUCUGAGGCCUUGAUGUCCUUGUAAGAUGAUUCUCAAGAGAUGUGCUGAGUUCCAGAAGAUGGAGACUUGAUUACCAAAGAAAGUAGGGCCAACCUUGAUGAACCUGGCUCUCCCAACCCUGUCACUCCCAGAUGUAGCAUAGACUCCUAAACAGAACCCUCAAGUCUGUAUCGAGGAUAUAACCCUCUGAGCUGAAAGAUCUUGGGCAGAUGAGCAGGAAAAUGAAAGUUGCUGUACCUGACUGGCCCAGUAUGAUCAGAAAAUUGUAUCCAGAGUAAACCCUAUGGAUUAAUAACCCUGGAGUACUCAGGGUAAAAACUAAUUUACAGAGCUUUGAUAUUAAACUGCCUGUUCUUCCAGAUCAUAGCCUGGCUAUUGAUAUGGCUGGCCCUGCUUGCCUCUUUACCUGACUCAGCCCUUGCCUGCCUUUUUGACUGCAGUCCAACUGGCUGUGCUUGAUAAAACUACAGCUGAUCUCAACCUAUCUUAUACCCAGUUCCACCAAGGAGUUUUGAACAGAAGCACCCUGCACCCCACCAUGACUUAGUGUUCACUGCAGGAAGGAGCAUGCUUUUUUUUUUUUUUUUUUUUAAUUUUAUCUUUUUUAAUACUUGGGACCCUUUCUACUAGGCCUGGAGGAGUACAGCAGAUUGAAAGCAUUGCCCAUUCUCUCUUCUACAGUAAUACAGAGAUGAAGCUGAUUCACCAGGACUCACAGAAAUGUACCGAUUCAACUUGGCAAAAGACAUGAACACAAGAAAACUUUUCCACUAAACUUAAAAUUCGCCACUGACUUGAAUAGCCUCAUAGAACUAUUUGCCAGUAGAAGGCUGGUUGUCCUGCUUCAUGUCAGCAAGACAGCUGGACUCUCACACAUGACCACUGAGUUUGCUUACAUCGAAACUGUUGUAUCAUUCAAAGUAUCUACUGGACAUGAUUAUUCCAUUCAAAUGGAUUACAAGCUUCGAGUAGAAGACAGACUUACUCCUCAUGAUUUUUUCCAGAAUGCUCCUAUUGUCAAGGAAGUCUACACCAGCUGUUAACCAUUCAACUCUAUGAGCAGAGAUUAAAUUUUUUCAAUAUCUGUUCUUAUCGUUGACAUCAGUUGUUUUUGAUUGACCAACACCUAUUCCAUCUCUUUAUAAAUAAAAACAACUCCCUGAUGCUUCUUGGAACCACCUCUCUCUUUUUCAAUUCAUAUGGUUCAGUCUGACCUAACCUUAGGUUUCAUGGGUGGACAUGUAAUUCAAACCUGAUCAGUCAGCAAAAUCCAUCUCCUUGACCAUAGUGAUUGGUUCAGGAAUGAUCAUGUGAUUCAAGUUGGUCCAGUGAUUACUUAAUCCUGAGAGUUUUAGUGAACUGUGUAGGAGAAGCUCAGAGGCUGUUUACUGAGGUUGCUUAGCUCUGUAGGAUGAAAAGCUCACACCAACAGGGCCUACCAUAUCAAAUAAGCCAGUCAGAGAAUGAAGCCAGUGCAGAGGAAGGCGGAGCCAAAUGAUGGAGAGACUUAAGUUCUGAUGAUAAUUUUUUGUGCCCCUGGAUCCAACCGUGCCUGAAGCUAGAAUAUCCCCUGGACUUUUCAGUUAUGUAAACCAAUAAAGACCCUUUUUUGCUUAAGUUACUUUGAGUUUGGUUUCUAUUACUUGAAAUUGAGUCUGAAUAUGCUAUCUACCAAUAUGGAAGUUUGACAGAUCCAAGUAUUAAUUAAACUAGAGGUCAAGGCCACACUGAAAUUAUUUUUCAAUCUAGAAGAUAAAAAAAAACAGGAACUGACAAUGUUUUAUGUUUACAGAGCAUAAAAAUUAAUUACAUGGUAGAAAAAAUACAGAAGAAAACCUAAAUGUUUAUCAGCGAAGAAUUGGUUAUGUACCACAUGGCUUAGCCAUAUAAGAAAAUCGACGUGUCUGUUAAAAUGAAUAAAGUACAUUUAUUGUGUAUGGGCAUGGAAAAAUGGCCAUAAUAUAUUAAGUGAAACAAACUUGCUAGAAAAAUUUGUAGUAUGAACUCAUUUAAGAAUUUGUGUGUUUAUGUUCAUAAUGCAUAGAAAAGUCUAUAAAUGGCCUUUUUGUGAACAGUGUAGAUUACAUGGAACUUUCAACUUUAUACAUUUCUGUAUUUGAAUAUUUUACACUACUCACAUUACUUUUAAACUUUAUUUAAAAAUAAAGAAUUUUUAAAAUUAA
ensembl:lncRNA